rnacentral:lncRNA from 1 species
GGGUGGGGCGGUAGUAGAGUCCUUCGGUUUGGACAGCUCCAAAUCUGCAAACUUCACCCGGACCCCACCUACAGUACAAGCUCCCGGUUCUGCGAGGCGGAGAUCAGGAGAUCAGGGCGGGUCCCUUUGCUUUCCCCGGUGAGACUUACGCUGCCCUUUGUAAAUUCCCGGAAACCUCUUCCAGCCCCAGAGGAUUGGACUCCAGCCGGGUGUACCUGGGUGUUAUCACCUUAUGGUAUCAGUUGGCGUUUUGUAUUUUAUUCGCCAAAGAAUGAACGUUCUCGAGUUCUAGGGCAGACACGCUGAUGUUUGUUGCUGAGCACCAGCAUCAAAAAAGAACCCGUGUGAGGCCUUUCUGCGCUGACCAGCGUGUAUAUUUUCACGUGUUUCUGCCAGUGUGGUGGGUAGAGGCUGCAGUGUAAGGUCUUUGUUGAAUCUCUUCUGAACCGCAUGGUAGCUAUAGCACGUCUUUUCAUAGCUCUUAUCUGAUGAAAGGAUUACAAUGGCUCCUAUAUGGAUGCAU